AGUUACCUGCGUAGUCGAAGACACAGUUUUCGAUCCAGAUGAGAUAAUAUUUGUGAGGAAGAGUCGUUUUGGUGACGUUGAACUCAUAAGAGAUGAAGGACCUGAUGGCCGCAUCUAUUAUCAAAAUGAAACCUUGGAUGGCGGAAGAAAGCUACGUGUGACUCUGCAUUUCAAUAAAGUCAUAAUAAGGGAUGAUUCAAGAAAUGGCGGUUAUGAAUGCCAAGGACACACAGGAGGUAGUCAACAUGAAUAUGGAUUCACUGUCACUGUUAUUGAGAGAAGCGAGUUUCCUAAAGUUCACGCCUCUGGUAAUGUAACAGCAAAGUUUGGGGAGCGAAUUCAACUCAGCUGUAAUGUCACCUUUACUAACAAAGGCCCGUUAAUGACAACCAUCGGCAAGUUUACCUGGGCAAAAGAUGGAAGGGUUGUAAUUGCAAGUUAUUGUCACCAUUUCUCAUCAAUUAAACCUUUGGGUUUUGAACGUAAGCCUAGCUGAUGUGGGUGGUACAUAUUCUUGUUACUUGGAGUACCUGCUGAGAGGAAUUAGAAAGAGAAACAUCACGAAAACUAUUAUCGUAAAAGUUCAGCCUAGAUUUUUCCCUGAAAAGAAA